rnacentral:rRNA from 1 species
AUGGCCCCAUGAAGCUUGAUAUGGGGUCUAGCCUGCCCACUGAGAAUUAAAGGGCUGCAGUAUUUUGACUGUACAAAGGUAGCGCAAUCAUUAGUCUUUUAAUUGUAGACUGGUAUGAAAGGCCAAACAAAUAAGUAUUGUUUUAGGUUUAAAGCAUUGAAUUUAAUUUUUCUGUUAAAAAGCAGAAAUAAGCGUAAAAGACAAGAAGACCCUUUUAAAGUUUAUUAAAUAGGUUUAUUUGUUUUUAAUAAAAAUAUUGAAUAAUUAUUUAUUUGAUUUAGUUGGGGCGACAGGCAUAACUGACAAUGUUAAUCAUAAAUAAGUAUAUUUAGAUGGGGGUGUGAGCUUUGUGAGGAGGCUUAUUAGAAUAAGUUACUAAAGGGAUAACAGCGUUAUGUAUUCUGAGAGUUCUUAUUGACGAAUAUGUUUGCGA